GGCCUGUUGGCCCAAUGGUAAGGCGUCUGACUACGAAUCAGGAGAUUCUGGGUUCGAGCCCCAGGCGGGUCA